AACGAACGCUGGCGGCAUGCCUAACACAUGCAAGUCGAACGAAAGCCUUCGGGGUCUAGUUGCGCACGGGUGCGUAACGCGUGGUAAUCUGCCCUUAGGUUCGGGAUAACAGUUAGAAAUGACUGCUAAUACCGGAUGAUGACGUUAAGUCCAAAGAUUUAUCGCCUGAGGAUGAGCCCGCGUAGGGUUAGCUAGUUGGUGUGGUAAAGGUGCACCAAGGCGACGAUCCUUAGCUGGUCUGAGAGGAUGAUCAGCCACACUGGGACUGAGACACGGCCCAGACUCCUACGCGAGGCAGCAGUGGGGAAUAUUGGACAAUGGGCGCAAGCAUGAUCCAGCAAUGCCGCGUGAGUGAUGAAGGUCUUAGGGUUGUAAAGCUCUUUUACCCGGGAUGAUAAUGACAGUACCGGGAGAAUAAGCCCCGGCUAACUCCGUG
rnacentral:rRNA from 1 species